CUCCUAAGACCCCUUGUACAAAUUUUUGCACAAAAUAAAUGUCGUCAUUCAGUCCCGGAAAGAUUGCAACUUUCAUAGUGGUGUAGUCCCAGCGUACAAAUUUUUGAACAUAUUUUUCAAUUGUCCCGCACUUUUAUUUUUGAAGUCAGAUGUAAAAAUUUGACAGCUACGCGUCUAUGGACAGGAUUGGCGAUUCGUUUCGCAAUGCAACCAACAAAAAAAACAGAAAGCUAUCAAAAUAAUUUGUGAGUGUCGGUCGAAGAUGGCGCAUAGACAGCGAAGAACUUUACAGAUCUUCGUGAUAAAGAAAUAAUAAAUUACCUAAACGAAUCUGAGUUUGAAGAUGACAGCGGCGAUGAAUAUUCCGCAGAUCCCGUUGCUUUUCAAAGAAAUUUUUCUAGUUCCGAAUCUUCAGACGAAGAGACCAUACAACAUCUAGCACCACCAAAACUUCCUAAUCGACCAAGUCGUGGAAGUAGUCGUAGUCAUGGGCUCAAAGCAACAGAGGACGGAGUCCAUCAAGAAGAGGUUCCCGAACUCGUUGAGGGUAUCCAGGAAGAAGUUCGUCAAAUAAUGACAGCGCGUCGUCAUCUUCGACUAACACCCAACGCGAAUGGAUUUUUGUUUCUAUUACUUAAAAGACUGUUUCUAGAAGUUUUGAUUAUUUACGUUCAUAUUUCGAAUAAAUAAUUAUAUGAAAUGUUGAAUUUAUUAUUUAUUACCCAAAAAGUUUUAUUACAGAUUGAAACCGAAUGUGCAAUUUUUUGAACAAAAGAUGGCUGCUUUAAACCUUUGCCAUUCUAUUCCGAAAGACAUAUAUAAUAUGUAAAAAAAAUCAAAAAGUCAAAAUUUCUGGUGUAAAUAAAUAUAUAACAAAAACAAUGUCUCGGACUGAAGGCCAAUAUUUUAUUUGUGCAAAAUUUUGUACAGUGGGACUAAAUCAUUACGAGUAAUGUUUUUAUCGGGGUCUUAGGAGGAUAUA